AAAUGGCAAAAACGACAGAAAAAAAAAAAAAAAAGAAUGGAGUUGAACUCAUAACGCCUAUUAUAAAGAAAAAUUUACUGAAAAAGAAUCAAAGACAUAAAUGUAAGAACUAUAUUCUCUUGAUUAGAAGCAUUAUGGUUCCCAUCCAUAGUUAAGGAGGGGGGAUUAUGCAGGAUGUGACUAUCCUGAGGUGGAGGUCAUUCAAGGCUGUCUUAGGCUUUUUUUUGUUUUUGUUUUUUUUGUUUUUUUAGGGCCGCACCUGCAGCAUAUGGAAGUUCCCAGGCUUCCAUAUGGGUCAAAUCAGAGCUGCAGCUGCUGGCCUACACCACAGCAACACGGGAUCUAGCCGCACCUUCGACCUUACCCAGCUCGUGGCAACACGGGAUCCCCAACCCCCUGAGCGAGGCCAGGGAUUGAACCUGCAUCCUCAUGGAUACUAGUUGGGUUUGCAACCUGUUGAGCCACAACGGGAACUCCUGUCUUAUGGUUUGUUUGCUCUAGCGUUUAGGUAUAUAUACUUAAGUUCUUCCUUUCUCCAAAAACCUCAGAGAAAAUGGACAGUGGGAUAGAAAGUCAACAGUUAAUAUAUGACAGACAACUUGAGGAAGAGUAGCAAAUAAAACAUCAAAGCCUAAGUAACAAGGAAAACAUGGUUACAUUUCAAAGAAAGAAUUAUAGUCAGAAAGAAAUUAAACAAUGAAAAGACUCCUAACGUCUUCUAAGAUUGAAUUUGUGAGUAAGAGUUCCAUGAAAUUAUAUAGCUGAAAAGAAGCAAGUUUACCUGGAGGUCUUGGAGCCUAUGUAGAAAAAGAAAACAGUGUUUUGGGUGACAUGAACUGGUUUGGCCUAUUAUAGUCUUCGGAGAAAAUUUCCCGUGAUUUAUAGUUUUCUUCAUUAAUGUUUGAUGUAUGUAUUUUAAAUUUGUUUUUUAUUGGAUAUCUCAGUAUAGCUUUGAGGGUGAAGGGUUUUUGCUCUUAUCAAAUUAUGUAGUUGCAUUAGUACUGGGUAAUAGGGAAAAAGUUGGCCACUUUGUUCUAUUAAACUAAUUAUCUAGUAUAUCUGUAGAGUUCAUGAAUAAUUACAUGGCUGGAAAUGCUAUAUAUCAUUUUUUACACAUACAUAGUAAAAUGCACCAUCAUGCUAAUAGAUUUUCUAUUUUUUAAUAUAGGAUCCAAAUGAAGAUACAGAAUGGAAUGAAAUUUUAAGAGAUUUUGGCAUUCUUCCUCCAAAAGAAGAGCCCAAAGAUGAAGUUGAAGAAAUGGUUUUACAUUUACAGAAGGAAGCAAUGGUUAAACCAUAUGAAAAGAUGACUCUUGAACAGUUGAAGGAAGUUGAAGAUGAAUUUGAUGAUGAAGAUAUGAGAGCUAUUGAAAUAUAUAGAGAGAAGCGAUUACAGGAAUGGAAAGCUCUUAAGAAAAAACAAAAAUUUGGGGAAUUAAGAGAAAUUUCUGGAACUCAGUAUGUGGAUGAAGUCACAAAUGCAGAAAAAGAUGUGUGGGUUAUAAUCCAUCUGUACAGGUCAAGAGCUUGAAUGGAAGCUAGCAGAAGUUGGAGCAGUACAGACUGAUUUGGAAGAAAAUCCCAAAAAAGGCAUUAUAGAUGUGAUGGUAUCUUCAAUUAGAAACACUUCUAUUUGUGAUGACACUAACAGUUCCAACAGUGAUAAUGAUGACGCUUAAUAAAUAGCUUUAAAGUGUUUAUAUAUGAAAAGUUUUGUUUGCCACUGCCUCUAUAGUCAGAGAUCAGAAAACUUAUAAAUUGAUUUAUUUUCACUUUUAUAUUAAAACUUAUAUGUCAUUACAAAAACUUCCAGGUAUUUCAGAAUAUUCGCUGCCUCCAACAAACCAGAAUUUGUACUGAACCUUUAAUAUUUUUCUCUGGUUUAUCCUUUUUCUGAUCCUACUUGGACAAAAACAAAAAUGUUACAAGUCCUCUAUGUUGCCUACUCACUUUCAAAGAAGCCUAUGAAUGAAAAUAAUCAAGGAGAACCUUGAAAUUCAUCUCAUUUAUGUCAAUAGAUAUUAAAGAUUAUCAUUUAGGGGUUUUGAGUGAAAAUACAUAAAUUUAUGACAAUACACUUUUUCUCUGAAAUCUCUUACCUGUUAAAAAAAAUUAACCAUUCAAUAGAAAAAUGCAAUUUAAAGAUUUUGAAAAGUACAUAAGAAACAUCUUCACCCAUUAUUACAGUUUUUAGUAGUUCUAUUAUUAAGCUAGAAAAUAUUAAGUAAGUAAUCUCACUAACAGAUUAUAGAAUCAUGAGAACUAUGAGACAUGUAAGUUUCUAAAUCAUGAGAAGUGGGAGAAAUACGUUGUGGAGUUUACCUAUGUUAUAAUAGAAGAAUUCAUCAUGAGAAAACAUGUAAUCUUAGGACACUAUAGAAGACCAGCUUAAUAAUUAUUUUGACUUAAUAAUUAACACUGGUUUUAGAAAAAAUGGUGGUAAAUCCAGCAUGUAAUUGCGGGACUUCAAGCCUUCUCCAAGUAAAUAAAACUCAAAAAGCCUCUGGCAGAGAUAAGAAUUGCCAGACCCUUAUCAUCCCACUGGUCUCACUGUCAUUGUCACAAUGUUCCUGAGGACCUCCCCACCAUAGCACCUUGGCCUGCUCCUUCCUGCCUCACACUAGAAAAGGUAUGUGGCCCACUCCUUACCCCUCCCCUAUAGGGGAAACAUAUGCCCCCAACAAACCAGCAGGUGUAUCAGAAGACCCCAUCCUGCCCCAACCAAUUAGCAGGUCAGCAGAUGUAUAAGACCACUCCUCCCACUCCUUGUCUCUGGGCUAUAAAAACAGGACCAUGUGCCCAGAGUUAGCUUUUCCUGACUAUCAGGAAGUUGGCCCACCGUGUUAACAGUGCCUCUUGACUCAUUAAAUUUGCCUUUUCUACACCUUGGUUUAAAUCUGAAAAAUUCUUUUUCCACCUGCAUGCAGAGGCCACAACAGUAAUUAGUUCAAUAACAGAUUUUAUCCUUCUACUUGGUAUUGGCCCAUCAUUCUUUUUUUUGGUUAUGUUGCUGUAUUAUUUAUUUCAUUUAAUUCAAGUUCUUCAUUUUUCUUUUUAAAUUUUUUUGUAUUAUUGUUGAUUUACAAUGUUCUGUCAAUUUGAUGACCCAUUGUUCUGAUUAUGGAUAUUCACUGAUAUUUGUGAGAGAAUCUAUACUCUUUAAAUGGUUAGAUUACACAAAUAAAUUGGUGAAAAUUGAGGCAGUUAAACACAGAGUCAGAAAAUGCUCUUUGCUGUUCCUGGGAGUGGGUAGGUAUCAUGGAGGCUGCUGAGAGCGAUGAAGCAGAAGGAAAGUUAAAAACAGGUUGAGUAAGAUAACAAUUUAUUUCACCAGAUAAAGUCAAAUGAUCUAACUUUGGAAAGAAUUAGGAAGACCCCCUUUCUUCUGAGAUAGGAAAGAAAGGCUUUUGAAAAUGUUCCUAUUUGGAUGAAGGGAAGGAAAGUUGGGAGCUGCAUACAAUGGCCUUUACUAUAGCUUUAUGCACCCAUGUAAGAGAAAUAAUU